CUCGUAGUUGGACCUGUGUUCCACGCUGUCGGUUCGCCGCCCGUCGGUGUCAACUGGCAUGUCCUGUGGAACGUCCUGCCGGUGGCGGUCCGGGCUUUCGGCUUGCGUAAGGGCUCACGCCCGAAGCAGGUCGAACAGUACCGGCCGCCGGUCCAAUCCCGCCACGGUGCUCUUCACCGAGUGUCGAGGUGGGCCGGCACGUUUACUUUGAACAAAUUAGAGUGCUUAAAGCAGGCUGGUGUCCGCCUGAAUACUGUGUGCAUGGAAUAAUAGAAUAGGACCUCGGUUCUAUUUUGUUGGUUUUCGGAACCCGAGGUAAUGAUUAAUAGGGACAGGCGGGGGCAUUCGUAUUGCGACGUUAGAGGUGAAAUUCUUGGAUCGUCGCAAGACGAACCUAAGCGAAAGCAUUUGCCAAGUAUGUUCUCGUUAAUCAAGAACGAAAGUUAGAGGUUCGAAGGCGAUCAGAUACCGCCCUAGUUCUAACCAUAAACGAUGCCAGCCAGCGAUCCGCCGAAGUUCCUCCGAUGACUCGGCGGGCAGCUUCCGGGAAACCAAAGCUUUUGGGUUCCGGGGGAAGUAUGGUUGCAAAGCUGAAACUUAAAGGAAUUGACGGAAGGGCACCACCAGGAGUGGAGCCUGCGGCUUAAUUUGACUCAACACGGGAAACCUCACCAGGCCCGGACACCGGAAGGAUUGACAGAUUGAGAGCUCUUUCUUGAUUCGGUGGGUGGUGGUGCAUGGCCGUUCUUAGUUGGUGGAGCGAUUUGUCUGGUUAAUUCCGAUAACGAACGAGACUCUAGCCUGCUAACUAGGCGAUUCCGGUACCCACAAUAGUGUUACCGGCGAUUCAAUUUCUUCUUAGAGGGACAGGCGGCUCCUAGCCGCACGAGACUGAGCAAUAACAGGUCUGUGAUGCCCUUAGAUGUCCUGGGCCGCACGCGCGCUACACUGAAGGAAUCAGCGUGUCUUCCCUGGCCGACAGGCCCGGGUAACCCGUUGAACCUCCUUCGUGCUAGGGAUUGGGGCUUGCAAUUGUUCCCCAUGAACGAGGAAUUCCCAGUAAGCGCGAGUCAUAAGCUCGCGUUGAUUACGUCCCUGCCCUUUGUACACACCGCCCGUCGCUACUACCGAUUGAAUGAUUUAGUGAGGUCUUCGGACUGGUGCGCGGCGAUCGGCUUUUACUGCCGGCCGCCGAUGUUGCCGGAAAGAUGACCAAACUUGAUCAUUUAGAGGAAGUAAAAGUCGUAACAAGGUUUCC
rnacentral:rRNA from 1 species